rnacentral:lncRNA from 10 species
AAUCAUUAAAAAGUCAGGAAACAACAGGUGCUGGAGAGGAUGUGGAGAAAUAGGAACACUUUUACACUGUUGGUGGGACUGUAAACUAGUUCAACCAUUGUGGAAGACAAUCCCUGCUAUAAGGAUAAUAAUUAAGCAAAAUAUACAGCAAUGAACACUCUGUGUCCAAUAUUUCAGUUAGAAGGUGCUACCGUGUAUAACCCUAUUGCAAAUAGCAGAGUGAGAAUAGCGAUUCCCACAAGUGUGGUAUAGUAGAUAAUUUCCAUCUAAAAUUUUACUUGCUAAGAUAUAAAAUUUCCCUUUGGGGGUCUAUGAAGUUUCUUGGUUUUAUUUUCCCAAACAAAUUUCUGGGUUAUGGGCAUCCUACUUACUUUCAUUACCUAGUGGCUUCUGUUAUUUGGACUUGUUUUUGAUGCCAAAAGGGAGACCACCUGGGCUGUCUUAAGAGCGUGCUCAGAUGUGGGGCAGAGAGGAAGGAGGACUAGUAGGGCUUAAAAGCUGUCGGCAUUCAAUCCUCAAAAAUGGAGUCUGACUCUUCAUUAACAGUGUUUGCUAUUCCUUGAGUGCUUAGUUACACGGAUCCUCUUUAUUUUUGGAAAAUAUUCCUUACAAUUUAGAAAGACUGGACAGAGCAGAGUGACAUACUAAGGCAGUGAAUGUGUGUUUCUUGUUGGUUUAGUAACCUCCCAUGCAUGAUGGCUGUGCUCCUGAUGGCAAAUAAAUGGCAGUGACAAGCCACCGUCAAGCCGGCACACACAGCAGCAUCCAGCACCAUCCAGAGUCUCCAUCUGGAGAGGCCGAUGCCCUCUCGCUCUUCUGGCUCUGGUCUCAUUUUAUUGCUUUGUGCAAACCAACCCACCUCAUUCUUGAGAGUCCGCAUUGCCAGCCUGGUUGUGCCCUAGUUUUUGAAUGUGACCUUGUGUUGCUUCAGGCCUGCCUCCCAUA